UGCCAGCCGCCGCGGUAAUACGGAGGGUGCAAGCGUUGUUCGGAAUUAUUGGGCGUAAAGCGCGUGUAGGCGGUUCGUUAAGUCUGAUGUGAAAGCCCGGGGCUCAACCCCGGAAGUGCAUUGGAAACUGGCGAACUUGAGUACGGGAGAGGAAAGUGGAAUUCCGAGUGUAGGGGUGAAAUCCGUAGAUAUCAGUUGGAACGCCGGUGGCGAAAGCGAGUCGCUGGGCCUGUCCUGACGCUCAGACGCGAAAGCGUGGGUAGCAAACAGGAUUAGAUA
rnacentral:rRNA from 1 species